AUUGAACGCUGGCGGCAUGCCUUACACAUGCAAGUCGAACGGUAACAGGUCUUCGGAUGCUGACGAGUGGCGAACGGGUGAGUAAUACAUCGGAACGUGCCCGAGAGUGGGGGAUAACGAGGCGAAAGCUUUGCUAAUACCGCAUACGAUCUCAGGAUGAAAGCAGGGGACCGCAAGGCCUUGCGCUCACGGAGCGGCCGAUGGCAGAUUAGGUAGUUGGUGGGAUAAAAGCUUACCAAGCCGACGAUCUGUAGCUGGUCUGAGAGGACGACCAGCCACACUGGGACUGAGACACGGCCCAGGCUCCUACGGGGGGCAGUAGUGGGGAAUGUUGGACAAUGGGCGCAAGCCUGAUCCAGCCAUGCCGCGUGCAGGAUGAAGGCCUUCGGGUUGUAAACUGCUUUUGUACGGAACGAAAAGACUCUGGUUAAUACCUGGGGUCCAUGACGGUACCGUAAGAAUAAGCACCGGCUAACUACGUGCCAGCCGCCGCGGUAAAAC
rnacentral:rRNA from 1 species